GAGUUUGAUCCUGGCUCAGGACGAACGCUGGCGGCGUGCCUAAUACAUGCAAGUCGAGCGAGACUCUUCGGAGUCUAGCGGCGGACGGGUGAGUAACACGUGGGCAACCUGCCUGUAAGACUGGGAUAACACCGGGAAACCGGUGCUAAUACCGGAUAAUCCUUUUCCUCUCAUGAGGAAAAGCUGAAAGUCGGUUUCGGCUGACACUUACAGAUGGGCCCGCGGCGCAUUAGCUAGUUGGUGAGGUAACGGCUCACCAAGGCGACGAUGCGUAGCCGACCUGAGAGGAUGAUCGGCCACACUGGGACUGAGACACGGCCCAGACUCCUACGGGAGGCAGCAGUAGGGAAUCUUCCACAAUGGACGAAAGUCUGAUGGAGCAACGCCGCGUGAGCGAUGAAGGCCUU
rnacentral:rRNA from 1 species